AACAACCUUAAUGAAAACACAUCUGAAAGUACGACAAUCCAUAUGGACAAUGCUUUGUGGAUGAGCUACUCCCGACGAUGGAAGACGUUCUAUUUUCUUCUUUCUUUAACUAUGUAUGAUUUGUUUUACGAUCACAAAUAAGAGAUUUAUUUUAUGCUCCAACAACCAAUUGAAGCCAACCAACAAUAUAUGGUACUUAUGUGAAAUGCUAA
rnacentral:lncRNA from 1 species